rfam:Schistosoma curassoni strain Dakar, Senegal genome assembly, scaffold: SCTD_scaffold0001085
AUCCAUCUGAAGAGUCCGAAAUAGGACGAAACACUCGUCCUGGAU